rnacentral:ribozyme from 18 species
GUGAAGAAAAGGGGCCCUUGUUUCAAAAUCUUUUUUUUCCCUUUCUUUUUCUUUUCUUUUUACUUUUUUUUUCUUUUUUUUUG